rnacentral:rRNA from 1 species
GAUGAACGUUGGCGGUGUGCCUAAUACAUGCAAGUCGAACGGAGACUGUAGCAAUACUGUCUUAGUGGCGAACGGGUGAGUAACGCGUUGGUGAUCUGCCUCGAAGUGUGGAAUAACCUCCCGAAAGGGAAGCUAAUACCGCAUAGUCUCUCAAGGUUUAGAAAAUUGAGAGUAAAGGAUUUAUUCGCUUCGAGAGGAGCCUGCGUCCCAUCAGCUAGUUGGUAGGGUAACGGCCUACCAAGGCAAUGACGGGUAGGGGACCUGAGAGGGUGGCCCCCACAAUGGAACUGAAACACGGUCCAUACACCUACGGGUGGCAGCAGUAGGGAAUAUUAGAAAUGGGCGGAAGCCUGAUCUAGCAACACCGCGUGUGCGAUGAAGGCCUUCGGUUGUAAAGCUCUUCAGUGGGGAAGAUAAUGACUGUACCCACAGAAGAAGCCCCGGCUAACUCCGUG